rnacentral:miRNA from 1 species
UGAGCAGAAUCAAAACAACGUUUUGGCCUACAACAGGGCCUUUGUCAAGCUAACCACAAGUGUAUUGAUAAAGUUACCCUUUAUAAAGGAUAUUAAUACACUUGUGGUUAGCUUGACAAAUACCCUGUUGUGGGCCGAAACGUUGUUUUGAUUCUGCUCC